rnacentral:misc_RNA from 1 species
GAAAAAAAAAAGAAAAAAAAAAGAGGACUAAAAGGUAGAGAACCUUCCCCCUGUUGGUCCAAGUAAUAACCUGUGACCUUGACACCAAACUACUUAAUAAACUUGAACACCUACAAAAGUAAGUGUAAACUGUGACUUUCCCUGCCUGAUAACUUUUAGGUGAAAGAGAGGCCAACCAAAAAUAAAAUAUGCCUUCAUGCCAAAAUGCAUAUCACUACAUGUCACCACUUUAUUGUACUGUUUUAUAUCAAUGUAAUUCAUGACCCAAAAAACAUAAAACAUCCUUGACAAACAGUUGUCACCAACACAACAUAAUGACUGAUGGACAUUUUCAAAUUCAGUGCAUAAUACUUGCAGACAUAACUUAUUAUUAUUAUGGCUAUUUUCAAAAUUCUGACAAUAAGAACCUGAAAAAUCUCUCUAGCACACUGCACAUUGAGCAAUAAUUCAAAACUCGAGAUUUUUAUUCUUUCUUCAGUCAAGGGGUUCUUUCAAUCCUUAGUACCAAAGAAAGAAAAAGAAAUAUUUGCAACAAUGCCCUAAAACGCUUCUACAUCACGAAUUAUCAAA